GCGCAGCUAGCUUAGCUGGAUAGAGCACCGGAUUGCGGAUCCGGAGGUCAGCAGUUCGAAUCUGCUGCUGCGCACCA
rnacentral:tRNA from 1 species